rnacentral:rRNA from 1 species
UACGGAGGGUGCACGCGUUAUCCGGAUUCACUGGGUUUAAAGGGUGCGUAGGUGGGUUGGUAAGUCAGUGGUGAAAUCCCCGAGCUUAACUUGGGAACUGCCAUUGAUACUAUUGAUCUUGAAUACCGUGGAGGGCAGCGGAAUAUGUCAUGUAGCGGUGAAAUGCUUAGAUAUGACAUAGAACACCAAUUGCGAAGGCAGCUGGCGACGCGAAUAUUGACACUGAUGCACGAAAGCGUGGGGAUCAAACAGG